AACGAACGCUGGCGGCAUGCCUAACACAUGCAAGUCGAACGAGACCUUCGGGUCUAGUGGCGCACGGGUGCGUAACGCGUGGGAACCUGCCCUUAGGUUCGGAAUAACUCCCCGAAAGGGGUGCUAAUACCGGAUAAUGUCUUCGGACCAAAGAUUUAUCGCCUUUGGAUGGGCCCGCGUUGGAUUAGCUAGUUGGUAGGGUAAAAGCCUACCAAGGCGACGAUCCAUAGCUGGUCUGAGAGGAUGAUCAGCCACACUGGGACUGAGACACGGCCCAGACUCCUACGGGAGGCAGCAGUGGGGAAUAUUGGACAAUGGGCGAAAGCCUGAGCCAGCAAUGCCGCGUGAGUGAUGAAGGCCUUAGGGUUGUAAAGCUCUUUUACCCGGGAUGAUAAUGACUGUACCGGGAGAAUAAGCUCCGGCUAACUCCG
rnacentral:rRNA from 1 species